rnacentral:rRNA from 1 species
CCUACGGGUGGCAGCAGUGAGGAAUAUUGGUCAAUGGACGAGAGUCUGAACCAGCCAAGUAGCGUGAAGGAUGACUGCCCUAUGGGUUGUAAACUUCUUUUAUAUGGGAAUAAAACGUUCCACGUGUGGGAUUUUGUAUGUACCAUAUGAAUAAGGAUCGGCUAACUCCGUGCCAGCAGCCGCGGUAAUACGGAGGAUCCGAGCGUUAUCCGGAUUUAUUGGGUUUAAAGGGAGCGUAGGUGGAGUGUUAAGUCAGUUGUGAAAGUUUGCGGCUGAACCGCAAAAUUGCAGUUGAAACUGGCAGUCUUGAGUACAGUAGAGGUAGGCGGAAUUCGUGGUGUAGCGGUGAAAUGCUUAGAUAUCACGAAGAACUCCGAUUGCGAAGGCAGUUCACUGGACUGCAACUGACACUGAGGCUCGAAAGUGUGGGUAUCAAACAGGAUUAGAUACCCGAGUAGUC